rnacentral:lncRNA from 1 species
CAAAACAGUCAUAGCUAGAUAUUGUUUAAUUAAAUCAAUUAUACAUAGUACUUUAACUUACCAACCAUAUUUGCAAACAUACGUAUAGUUUCACUAAUCCAUUUCAUAUAUAUAUACCAAAAUAUUUCAAGUACCUCAAAUUAGAUAGAAAUUCAAGAGUUUACAUUUUAGUUCCUAAUAUGUGGAAAUAUAACUGACUGCCUAUGUACAUGCCAUUUUAAUUCAAAAUAUGGUACCUACUUUUGAAACUCUUGAGGAUGUGAUGAGAUGAGAGAUCUUCUAUCCUGACUUUAUCUCUUCAAGUCAAACUGUACCUACGCGUUAAAAUUAAACGCGUUAAGCCGGUGAAGACUUAGUAAGCACUACAAGAAUAAACAAAUAAAUAAAUGUAAAUAAAAUAUUUCGAACUCAUUCUGUUGUUGCGUAUUUACGUACGUAUAAGCUUCAUAAAACUUACCUUAGCAUAUUAAUGAUUCGCUUUUAUCCACAAAUCAUAAUCUUAGCCCAAAAUAGAUUUUCAUAGAACACACCGGAUAUACGGAACAAAUACAGAGGUGCAUUAUUAUGCACUAAUGAACAGAGAGCACUAAAGUGCUAUACAGAGAGCACAGAUGUGCUAAACAGAGAGCACUGACGUGCUAAAUAUCAGAGAGCACCAACGUGCUAAUAGUCAGAGAGCACUAACGUGCUAAUAAUCAGAGAGCACUAACGUGCUAAUAAUCAGAGAGCGCGCUAAAGUUCCUUAAUGGCAUGCCACUAAUAUCCUGGUAGUUCUAAAUUCCAUCUACUUGGGCACUAAAACUGAAUCUCAUUCAUUUAAAUACUUUAUAGAAUUAUUUUGAAAAAGAUUUCUCAUUUCUCCAUCAUUACAAUUCAAUGCUUAUUUCACAAUUCACAAUUAUCACACCAUUUUCACACACACACACACAUAUAUAUACACUUUUGUCACAACAUUACUUAUUGUUCAAACAUUAUACCAUCUUAUAUUUUCCAUAUAUAAUUUUUCUUUACAAAUUUCAUAGUUCCAUAAUCUUUUAUUUUACUUUAUUUUAUUUUAUUUCUAAAUAGUUCUAUACUAUAAUAUAGGCAUUUAAAAUAAAUAAUUUCUAAAAAAAAUAAUCUUGUAGUACUUACAACAAAAAGGUUGAGAUGAUGUCUUCCUUCACUCCUUAGCCUUCUCUUUUCCUUUUUCUUCAAUAAGGUCCUUUCCUUUCCUUUCUUUCUCUUCAAUUUCAUAUAAAACACAUAAUAUUUAUAUAUUAGAAAAACAAUCAAAUAACUUUCCUAUAUCAUUUAAUAAAAAUAAACAUAUAUGAUAUAAUAAUUUCAUAAUUUCUUACCUUAGCUAAUAUUUCAAUUUAAUUCAUAACUAAAAUUAUUUCUAUUUCUAUCACAACCUAUACCUUAUUUCUACUUAAAUUCAACUUACACCUUAACUUAACUCUCAAAUUUUCACUAAUAAACCUUAAUUUCGAAUUUCUUACAAUUUUACAUUAAACUUAUAACUUAUUUCUCAAUUUCAUCCUUUUCCCAAUCCUAGUUUGAAUUUCCAUCAAUUCAACCUCUAAUUCAUCCACUAAUUCAAUAUAAACUACAUAAAAAAAUUCUACUAACUUUCAAAAUUUCAACAUAUACCUACUAGUAUUUUGAUCUAGAAUCAUAAAAACUCAAAAAUUUCAAGAAAAUGACUUAAUUUGACUUACCGAUUUGAAAUUGAACCUUAAAACCCUAAAUUCCUUCUUUACUUUUUCUUUCUUUCUUUCUCCCCUGUUUCUCCCCUGUUUCGUUUCAAAUGCUA